rnacentral:rRNA from 1 species
CGAUCUGGCUCAGGAUGAACGCUGGCGGCGUGCUUAACACAUGCAAGUCGAACGAAGCAAUUCUUACGAUCCCUUCGGGGUGACGAGUUAUUGACUGAGUGGCGGACGGGUGAGUAACGCGUGGGUAACCUGCCUGUACAGGGGGACAACAGUUGGAAACGACUGCUAAUACCGCAUAAGCGCACAGCUUCGCAUGAAGCAGUGUGAAAAGUUAUUUCGGUACAAGAUGGACCCGCGUCUGAUUAGCUAGUUGGUGAGGUAACGGCCCACCAAGGCGACGAUCAGUAGCCGACCUGAGAGGGUGACCGGCCACAUUGGGACUGAGACACGGCCCAAACUCCUACGGGAGGCAGCAGUGGGGAAUAUUGCACAAUGGGCGCAAGCCUGAUGCAGCCGACGCCGCGUGAGCGAAGAAGUAUUUCGGUAUGUAAAGCUCUAUCAGCAGGGAAGAUAAUGACGGUACCUGACUAAGAAGCACCGGCUAAAUACGUGCCAGCCGCUGC